rnacentral:rRNA from 1 species
GACAGAGGGGGCAAGCGCUGCUCGGAAUUACUGGGCGUAAAGGGCGCGUAGGCGGGAUGGCAAGUCGGUCGUGAAAUCCCUCGGCUCAACUGAGGAUCGUCGAUCGAUACUGCCGUUCUUGAGGAUUGCAGAGGAGACUGGAAUUCCCGGUGUAGCGGUGAAAUGUGUAGAGAUCGGGAGGAACACCGGUGGCGAAGGCGGGUCUCUGGGCAAUUCCUGACGCUGAGGCGCGAAAGCGUGGGGAGCAAACGGG